rnacentral:lncRNA from 1 species
AUGGCCCCUGGGGUACGGCGUGGUGUCGCUGUCACUGCGUGGCCCCCACGGUGUCGCGUGUUGUCACCAUCACUGCACGGUCCCGCACGCGCCGGGUCCCGCACGGCCCCGAGGCACUGCGCAGCGUCACCGUGCCUCCCUGCUCCGUGGGGUGUCACCCGGCGUCACCGUCACCGCGCAGUGCUCAGGGUGUCACUGUCACGGCUUGGCCACGGGGUGCCACACAGUGUCACUGCAGCUCCCAUGGGUUGUCACACGGAGUCACCGUCAGUGCCCGGCGCAGGGGAUGUCACGCCGCGCUAUGUCACCGCAUGGCCCACGGGUGUCACGCAGCGUCACCGUCACUGCCGUCCCGCAGUGUAUCACACAGCGUCGCUGUCACUGCAUGGCCCACGGGCGUCACCCCGUGUUGCUGUCACUGCGUGGCCCACGGGGUGUCACAGUGUCACUGUGCAGCGCAGGAUAUCCCCCACAGCCACUCCCCUGCACAUCCCGCGGGCUGUCACCAGUGUCACUGCACGCCCCUGGGGUGCGCUAUGCCCCGUCCCCGUCCCUGCCAGCCCUGGGGACAGCCUGGGGACAGGACAGCGUCCCCGUGACCGGCUGCCCAAGGGCACAGGGGGAGGAAGGUCCCCAGCAAAUACCGGUCACUGCGUGACAUCAGUCCCUGUGCCAUGGGAUGACGAGUCACCUCGGGGACACCGUGUCCACGUGCCCAGGGGACAGCGCUGCGGUGGCCAAGAGCUGCGAAGCUCCGGGCUCAAACCAGCAGCAGCCCCGACCCCGCUGUUCCCGGCCCCACCGAGGGGACACAUCCCCGUGGUCCCCGAGCCUGUCCCCUCUGCCCACCCCAUCCCGUCCCCCGCUGCCAGGCCAGCAGUGAUUUUCCAUCAGUCACCGGCUGUCCCAAUCAACCAGGCUCUAAUUAAGUGUCAGUGUUGGCAGCCCUUAAUUGCCAAGCAGUGGGAGGGUGGCGGCCCCGCUGUGCCCGCAGCCUGUGUAACGAGAGGCGGCACGACGUGGCCGGGCUGGGGGCUGCCAGGAGGACGUGGUGCCCCCACCUCGCCCCCCAGCCACGACGGGGUCACCCUGCAGGACGAGGGACAGUGCCGGGCACGGGGCUGGGUGUGCUGCCACGUCCCCGUACCAGGGCUAAGCCAGCUGGCCAGCUAG